GAAAGCCGAAAUGUGCCACUUUUCCCCGACCGAAACAACCUCCGAUCUGUUGCGGAUCAUCCAAGUGUUUGGUACGAGGAGAAAGCUAAUGAAAUGCCCUGUCCAAUCACGUAGGUCAAAUGGCGAUAUUAUUUUGUAGUUCUUUUAAAAGAGCCAAUCAAAAGAGUAAACCAAACCCUCUUGUUGCUAUGCCUGUCAAGAUCAAGCUCCGUGAUUGGUCAAACGCCCACCGCGUGCUCUACGGGCAUGCGCAGUUCUCUCACUUACAUCCGCAACAAACCAAGCAUGGUUAGUGUUAUUGCAAGUUUGAUUAAUGUUUCGUCUCAUAAAUAGCCGUAUUUACUCCUCAUUUUUGGACAACAAUGACAAGGACAAAGGCGACUGGGAGUCUGAUGAUGACUGGGAUGCCUUUGAUGAUGAAAAAGACGAUCGAGUGCACGAACUGGGAACAGAUUCAGCAGUGGAGAAGACCAAUGCGAUUUUUACCGCGGACGUAUCUCCCAAUUCUGGCUAUGAAAAGACCAAUAAUCUUUGCAUCAGCAAGGAAAGACUAACAGGCUUACUGAAAUGGUACUCCAAUGGGACAGGACAGGAGGGAGAAAGAGAUCCCUUCAGCUGGACAACAUCAAAGGAGAGGUGACAUUCAUCCAACAACAAGGUUCACAAAAUGCCCUAGUGCUCACUGGACAUGUCCCUGGAUUUAAACGUGAUGAUCUACAGCCCCUGCCUUCAGUUCACACUGCCACCAAGGUCAACCAAAGCUACAAAGAUGUUCUUCUUGGGACAGAGAAGAACUAUUGGACCAUCAAGCACCAACAAGAGUGGAGACUUGAAGAAAGCAACGCAUAUCUGAAUCUUACACUGACUCUGAGAGUGCCCAUAGACAGGUUGUGGGCGUGGAGAUGAACUUUUAAAUCUGUAAAUAUGUGGCAAGUACACAAGAGAAUACGUGAGUAAUGUGUGUGUGUGUG